CCCCUCCGGACCCGCCGCGGGAGCCGCCCCGGGCCCCGCCACCUCGGCGGGUGGGAGAAGGACGAUCCUGGCUCUGCCCUCUUGGCAAAGGGCCGAGGAGCCCGGCCUCAGCCCGGUGGGCACCCCAUCGCGGACCCCCUCCCCCGGGGCAGGGGGGGAGCGCUGUCGUGGGGGCUCCGCACCCUCACCCCUGUCACCCCUGGCCCCGGGCCCACAACUGCCCUCUCCGCUCAGUAGCUUCCCCGAGCCUCGGCACCCCCCCCCGCGCCUGCCUCGGCCCGGGUCUCAUCCUCGGGGAUGGCACGGAGCUGCCUCUACUCAGGGGGAAGUUGGAUCUGGGGAGUUCCUCUGUGUGUCCCGCCUUGGGGAGGGGGCUAGGGGCCUGGAGGGUCUUGCCCUCUCAGAGCCCAAGUGGGGACAAAAGAAGGGGCACCCUUCCCGGAGGCGCGAAAUCCAAGGAGGAAGUGACACCUAUCAGCCAGCCUGAGAGUGGAGGCGCCCCAUCCGGCCCCUCCCACCCCACAGUCCCCGGAGCCACCACGCAAGGCAUCUUCAGGCCCCAGGCUCGGAUGGGAGAUCCCCAGGAUGCCAAGCGGAGGACAUGGGGGCGGAGGGUUAUAUUUUUACGCGGAGGCUCCCUGAAUCCCACAUGUUACCAGCUCUGGCUUCAUGAAUGCGAUGAAUUCCUUAUGGGUCAAGGUUAUUGUUGAGAAAUUAAAGUACUCUGCAGAGAACAGCACCAGCCUUAGUAACAGGUGAGAUGUCUGUGUGUAACGUGGGUACUGAAAGAGGAAAAGGACUGGCCUGGAAGUCUGUCUUGUGUGUGUGUGUGUACCAGUGUGUGUGUGUAAACAGCAGGGCUCAGCCCCUUGCGUAUGCUGAUUGCCUGUGCAUGCAGUCAGGAAAACAUCAGAGGUGCAGCUUUAUAGGUACUGCGAAACACGCAGGGCUGGCUGAGCCCGAUUCGGAUCAUAACUGUGGUUUUGUCUUCUCCGAACCGCUCUGUACCGGGAAAGUCACAGCUUCGCUCCGCGGUUUCCUUGGUUGCUGAACACGUGUGAUGUGCGAUUACUCUUCUGUCAGGACGUGAUGGCUACUCAGCCUUCCAGCUUCAUUGCUUUGGCUUAAACUACAGCAGACUAGGAACUUGGCUUGUUUGUUUGAUUUUGUUUUGAAACCUAAAUGCAGCCUUGAUAACGUCAGUGUUGCCAGACUUGGUGGAGGAGGCGGGGCAGAGUGAAAAACUCCUGG
rnacentral:lncRNA from 1 species